AGUCGUAACAAGGUUUCCGUAGGUGAACCUGCGGAAGGAUCAUUACUGAGUUAGGGUCUCAUCUCGAGCCCGAACCUCCAACCCUUUGUAUAAAACACUUUGUUGCUUUGGCAGGCCCGUCUGAAAAUCCUUUCACCGGGAUCGACGACCGCCGGGGGCGUUUAGUCACCUCUGGCCAGUGCUUGCCGAUAGCCUAUUUCAAAGUACUUUAUCUUAAAUUCAAAUGCAUCGUGCAAAAUUUGAAAAUUAACUUAAAAUCUAAAUUAAUUAAAAUAAC
rnacentral:misc_RNA from 1 species